rnacentral:rRNA from 1 species
GGUUAAGCGACUAAGCGUACACGGUGGAUGCCCUGGCAGUCAGAGGCGAUGAAGGACGUGCUAAUCUGCGAUAAGCGUCGGUAAGGUGAUAUGAACCGUUAUAACCGGCGAUUUCCGAAUGGGGAAACCCAGUGUGUUUCGACACACUAUCAUUAACUGAAUCCAUAGGUUAAUGAGGCGAACCGGGGGAACUGAAACAUCUAAGUACCCCGAGGAAAAGAAAUCAACCGAGAUUCCCCCAGUAGCGGCGAGCGAACGGGGAGGAGCCCAGAGCCUGAAUCAGUGUGUGUGUUAGUGGAAGCGUCUGGAAAGGCGCGCGAUACAGGGUGACAGCCCCGUACACAAAAAUGCACAUACUGUGAGCUCGAUGAGUAGGGCGGGACACGUGGUAUCCUGUCUGAAUAUGGGGGGACCAUCCUCCAAGGCUAAAUACUCCUGACUGACCGAUAGUGAACCAGUACCGUGAGGGAAAGGCGAAAAGAACCCCGGCGAGGGGAGUGAAAAAGAACCUGAAACCGUGUACGUACAAGCAGUGGGAGCACAGAGCAAUCUGUGUGACUGCGUACCUUUUGUAUAAUGGGUCAGCGACUUAUAUUCUGUAGCAAGGUUAACCGAAUAGGGGAGCCGAAGGGAAACCGAGUCUUAACUGGGCGUUAAGUUGCAGGGUAUAGACCCGAAACCCGGUGAUCUAGCCAUGGGCAGGUUGAAGGUUGGGUAACACUAACUGGAGGACCGAACCGACUAAUGUUGAAAAAUUAGCGGAUGACUUGUGGCUGGGGGUGAAAGGCCAAUCAAACCGGGAGAUAGCUGGUUCUCCCCGAAAGCUAUUUAGGUAGCGCCUCGUGAAUUCAUCUCCGGGGGUAGAGCACUGUUUCGGCAAGGGGGUCAUCCCGACUUACCAACCCGAUGCAAACUGCGAAUACCGGAGAAUGUUAUCACGGGAGACACACGGCGGGUGCUAACGUCCGUCGUGAAGAGGGAAACAACCCAGACCGCCAGCUAAGGUCCCAAAGUCAUGGUUAAGUGGGAAACGAUGUGGGAAGGCCCAGACAGCCAGGAUGUUGGCUUAGAAGCAGCCAUCAUUUAAAGAAAGCGUAAUAGCUCACUGGUCGAGUCGGCCUGCGCGGAAGAUGUAACGGGGCUAAACCAUGCACCGAAGCUGCGGCAGCGACGCUUAUGCGUUGUUGGGUAGGGGAGCGUUCUGUAAGCCUGUGAAGGUGUGCUGUGAGGCAUGCUGGAGGUAUCAGAAGUGCGAAUGCUGACAUAAGUAACGAUAAAGCGGGUGAAAAGCCCGCUCGCCGGAAGACCAAGGGUUCCUGUCCAACGUUAAUCGGGGCAGGGUGAGUCGACCCCUAAGGCGAGGCCGAAAGGCGUAGUCGAUGGGAAACAGGUUAAUAUUCCUGUACUUGGUGUUACUGCGAAGGGGGGACGGAGAAGGCUAUGUUGGCCGGGCGACGGUUGUCCCGGUUUAAGCGUGUAGGCUGGUUUUCCAGGCAAAUCCGGAAAAUCAAGGCUGAGGCGUGAUGACGAGGCACUACGGUGCUGAAGCAACAAAUGCCCUGCUUCCAGGAAAAGCCUCUAAGCAUCAGGUAACAUCAAAUCGUACCCCAAACCGACACAGGUGGUCAGGUAGAGAAUACCAAGGCGCUUGAGAGAACUCGGGUGAAGGAACUAGGCAAAAUGGUGCCGUAACUUCGGGAGAAGGCACGCUGAUAUGUAGGUGAGGUCCCUCGCGGAUGGAGCUGAAAUCAGUCGAAGAUACCAGCUGGCUGCAACUGUUUAUUAAAAACACAGCACUGUGCAAACACGAAAGUGGACGUAUACGGUGUGACGCCUGCCCGGUGCCGGAAGGUUAAUUGAUGGGGUUAGCGGUAACGCGAAGCUCUUGAUCGAAGCCCCGGUAAACGGCGGCCGUAACUAUAACGGUCCUAAGGUAGCGAAAUUCCUUGUCGGGUAAGUUCCGACCUGCACGAAUGGCGUAAUGAUGGCCAGGCUGUCUCCACCCGAGACUCAGUGAAAUUGAACUCGCUGUGAAGAUGCAGUGUACCCGCGGCAAGACGGAAAGACCCCGUGAACCUUUACUAUAGCUUGACACUGAACAUUGAGCCUUGAUGUGUAGGAUAGGUGGGAGGCUUUGAAGUGUGGACGCCAGUCUGCAUGGAGCCGGCCUUGAAAUACCACCCUUUAAUGUUUGAUGUUCUAACGUUGGCCCCUGAUCGGGGUUGCGGACAGUGUCUGGUGGGUAGUUUGACUGGGGCGGUCUCCUCCUAAAGAGUAACGGAGGAGCACGAAGGUUGGCUAAUCCUGGUCGGACAUCAGGAGGUUAGUGCAAUGGCAUAAGCCAGCUUGACUGCGAGCGUGACGGCGCGAGCAGGUGCGAAAGCAGGUCAUAGUGAUCCGGUGGUUCUGAAUGGAAGGGCCAUCGCUCAACGGAUAAAAGGUACUCCGGGGAUAACAGGCUGAUACCGCCCAAGAGUUCAUAUCGACGGCGGUGUUUGGCACCUCGAUGUCGGCUCAUCACAUCCUGGGGCUGAAGUAGGUCCCAAGGGUAUGGCUGUUCGCCAUUUAAAGUGGUACGCGAGCUGGGUUUAGAACGUCGUGAGACAGUUCGGUCCCUAUCUGCCGUGGGCGCUGGAGAACUGAGGGGGGCUGCUCCUAGUACGAGAGGACCGGAGUGGACGCAUCACUGGUGUUCGGGUUGUCAUGCCAAUGGCACUGCCCGGUAGCUAAAUGCGGAAGAGAUAAGUGCUGAAAGCAUCUAAGCACGAAACUUGCCCCGAGAUGAGUUCUCCCUGACUCCUUGAGAGUCCUGAAGGAACGUUGAAGACGACGACGUUGAUAGGCCGGGUGUGUAAGCGCAGCGAUGCGUUGAGCUAACCGGUACUAAUGAACCGUGAGGCUUAACCUU